GUGUCAGCAGCCGCGGUAAGACAGAGGGUGCAAACGUUGCUCGGAAUUACUGGGCGUAAAGCGCGUGUAGGCGGAUCGGAAAGUCGGGCGUGAAAGCCCUAGGCUCAACCUAGGAACUGCACCCGAAACUCCCAGUCUUGAGUGGUGGAGAGGGAAGUGGAAUUCCUGGUGUAGAGGUGAAAUUCGUAGAUAUCAGGAGGAACACCAGUGGCGAAGGCGGCUUCCUGGACACCAACUGACGCUGAGACGCGAAAGCGUGGGGAGCAAACAGGAUUAGAUACCCUUGUAGUCC
rnacentral:rRNA from 1 species